rnacentral:rRNA from 1 species
GACGAACGCUGGCGGCGUGCUAAACACAUGCAAGUCGAACGGUAAGGCCCUUCGGGGUACACGAGUGGCGAACGGGUGAGUAACACGUGGGUGAUCUGCCCUGCACUUCGGGAUAAGCCUGGGAAACUGGGUCUAAUACCGGAUAGGACCACUGCCUGCAUGGGCGGUGGUGGAAAGCUUUUGCGGUGUGGGAUGGGCCCGCGGGCUAUCAGCUUGUUGGUGGGGUGACGGCCUACCAAGGCGACGACGGGUAGCCGGCCUGAGAGGGUGACCGGCACACUGGGACUGAGAUACGGCCCAGACUCCUACGGGAGGCAGCAGUGGGGAAUAUUGCACAAUGGGCGCAAGCCUGAUGCAGCGACGCCGCGUGAGGGAUGACGGCCGUCGGGUUGUAAACCUCUUUCAGCACCGACGAAGCGCAAGUGACGGUAGGUGCAGAAGAAGGACCGGCCAACUACGUGCCAGCAGCCGCCGUAAGAC